UACGUAGGGUGCGAGCGUUAAUCGGAAUUACUGGGCGUAAAGCGUGCGCAGGCGGUUCGCUAAGACCGAUGUGAAAUCCCCGGGCUCAACCUGGGAACUGCAUUGGUGACUGGCGGGCUAGAGUAUGGCAGAGGGGGGUAGAAUUCCACGUGUAGCAGUGAAAUGCGUAGAGAUGUGGAGGAGUACCGAUGGCGAAGGCAGCCCCCUGGGCCAAUACUGACGCUCAUGCACGAAAGCGUGGGGAGCAAACAGG
rnacentral:rRNA from 1 species